ACACCUCAACUCUCGUGGCUUGCCAUGAUGAGUUUGGACUUUGGGGGUCUUGCUGGCCUGUGGUCGGCUCCUCUCAAAUGAAUCAGCUUGCCAGUGUUUGGUGGCAUCACAGGUGUGAUAACUAUCUACGCUUGUGGUGUUCCAUCCAGGUAACCUUCAGUGAUGAAGGUUUGCUGGGGCUCAUAAAUGUGUCUCUCCUCGAUGAGGACAGCUCUUUGAAC
rnacentral:misc_RNA from 1 species